UACGUAGGUGGCAAGCGUUGUCCGGAUUUAUUGGGUUUAAAGGGUGCGUAGGCGGUCUUGUAAGUCUGUUGUGAAAUACGGCAGCUUAACUGUCGAGGGGCAAUUGAUACUGCAAGACUUGAGUACUGAUGAGGUAGGCGGAAUGGACGGUGUAGCGGUGAAAUGCGUAGAGAUCGGGAAGAACACCGAUAGCGAAGGCAGCUUACUGGGGAGUAACUGACGCUGAGGCACGAAAGUGUGGGGAUCAAACAGG
rnacentral:rRNA from 1 species